rnacentral:lncRNA from 1 species
CCAUCCCAUGGAAACAUGAGGACUAGCACAGAUAAGCCCCUCUAGGGCUCCUCAUUUCCUCAGCAGCCAUUGUAAAGCCGAUCAGCCACACUCCUGUGCCCCUAAGGAAGCCCCCAGUUUCUCUGCUUCUUCGGAGCUGUCCAUCUCGCCCGGCUGGCUUUCCCAGGGGCAGGUAGCCAGAGUCUGGGGCUCUGUGUGGGCGUGAGGAGGCCUGAGAGAAGUUAUGCCGAGUCCCUCUCCGGAAUGAAAGAUGUGGCUUUCCUGACUAUCGAAUAGUUCUGUGGUUCGGGCCUGUCUCGGAGGGAAGACUUGGAUGUCAAUCCUGGCUCCAUUCAUUCCUCCUAUGGGACCUUGGGCAAGGCAAGGCACUAACCCUCUCCAUGCCUCAGUUGCCUCAUCUGUAGAAGGCAGGUGUGCAGGAGAGAGCCUUUGAGGUCCCUAUCAGCUAGGAGGAUCCCAUAAGCCUCACCAAGGACAAAGAUGACUGCAUUACUCUGAAAUAAACCCCCAGCAUAAGGAUCUGGGGUUCUGCUCCUCAUUCUGGCUAUAGAGGUUGACCAGAAGCGGCGUGGAAUUUACCAGAGAUUCUCUUGGGUGGUAGGUAGCCUCGGAUGGGCAUCCAAACCUCUUUCCCUGGAUGGCGUUUCUCCAAGGUCAGCCUCUCCACCGAGAUACCUGUUGAAUAGCGGAGAAGGUAAGCCCUGGGCCAGUAACCCGGCGACAUUGACAAGCCCUGGGCCAGUAACCCGGCGACAUUGACAAGCCCUGGGCCAGUAACCCGGCGACAUUGGACUUUUGGUAACUUUCAGCUCCAGCCUUUGGCUCACAAAAGGCAAAAAUGCAACUUGAACUGUUCAGGGUGGCUACAUAUUUCAGCGCAGCGAUGCAUGGGAGCCAUCUCUGAGAGCCUGAUGUCCCUAGAUGGAGCCUUUGUCCCCACUCCAAGCAGACAACGAACGAAGGGAAGGUGAGACUCAGGAGUCCCUGAUUCCAGAGCCCGAUGUGGGGACUUGAGGGAGGCGGCACAGAACAAGUGGCAGAGCAAUAAUUGUGAAGUCAGAGGAUCUGGGCUCAGAUGGUGCCCGUGCUACUAACUCCCUGGAGCACGUUACUUCAUUCCUUUGGGCCUCGGUUUCCUCACGUGUCCAAUGAAGGGGGGGAUUAAAUGAGGUCCCUUCUAGCCCUAGGGCUAUGGGUCUGGGACACUUUGGGUACCUGGGACAAGCAAUGUGAAAGGGGUUCUCAGUUGAGGAAUAUUGGGGAGGGCCCUGGUCCAUGGGGUUGGAAGA